rnacentral:rRNA from 1 species
GUAAGGAAUAUUGGUCAAUGGACGCAAGUCUGAACCAGCCAUGCCGCGUGGAGGAUGAAGGUCCUCUGGAUUGUAAACUUCUUUUAUUUGGGAAGAAACCACCGAUUUCUAUUGGUGUUGACGGUACCAGAUGAAUAAGCACCGGCUAACUCCGUGCCAGCAGCCGCGGUAAUACGGAGGGUGCAAGCGUUAUCCGGAUUCACUGGGUUUAAAGGGUGCGUAGGCGGGCAGGUAAGUCAGUGGUGAAAUCUCCGGGCUUAACCCGGAAACUGCCGUUGAUACUAUCUGUCUUGAAUAUCGUGGAGGUGAGCGGAAUAUGUCAUGUAGCGGUGAAAUGCUUAGAUAUGACAUAGAACACCGAUUGCGAAGGCAGCUCGCUACACGGUUAUUGACGCUGAGGCACGAAAGCGUGGGGAUCAAACAGG